UAUUAUAUUAUAUUAUAUUAUACUAGUAAUAGUGUUUCAUUAAUGAAACAUUUCAAGUACAGGACUAUUACACUGCAGGCUAUAUGUACAAGGCUCCAUUCCACUGAAUCCAUUGUUCCAGGUUUUGUGUGAGAGGAGCUCUGUGUCUCUCUGAAGGCAGGUACUGUAGCCUCCCUCUGAUUCCCUUCCUGGUGCCUGACACAGUCUUUAGGAUAGAAGCCAUAGAGCUGGUGUGAGAGCCGGGGAAAGUCCAGCCAGCAUCACUCAGGCGCUGAGAUUCACAAUGAAUGAUUAACAUCACAAAAGCCUCUCCGCACCUCAACACUGCAGAACAAAAGAGCCAGAUUCAUCUGCCGGUGUCACCGGCUCGCUCUCGUGUCUUCCAUCGGAGUCUCCAUCAAGGGCUGGGAGUGGCUGCUGUCUUUGUGAGAGCGGAGCGGGGAAGCCCUCGGGUGAGCUGCGGAGGAGAGGAGAGUGGACACCGUUAACUCCCUGAGAUGCUCUGCAGGCUGGAGGAGGAAGAGGAGAUGUCUCUACUGGAGCUACAGCAGAGGGUGGACUGUAUCACCACCCAUGUUGCCUAAAACCUUGAACUGGGCUUCAUUCCAAGCUGCCUUCAACAAGACAGUAUCUCCAAAGACUUGGACUCACAAUAAAACAGCAGCAGUGACGCUCAACAGCAAAUCCAAAAAGGUGAACAAUAGGAAGGUCAUUGUACUUCCUUCCCUCCACACCAACCCCUCCCCCUCUCUCCACCCCCAUCUUUUGUGUGCCCCUAUGUAUAAUAUCUGUUCUAGCUUCAGUGCUGCACUCAUGUCAAUCAAUAUUGUAUACUCACACUGCUAUGUUAGGUUGCUCAGACACAGGAAGUUCUCCUUCCGGAUCAAAGUCUAGUUCUCAGAAAUCAAAUGAGGCCUUGGUGACUUCCAGUAAAUUUUCAGAAACCAUGCAAAGUGAUUUAUUACAUUAAUUUGAUCUGGAUUGCUUUAAAAUAAGCCAUUUUGAUGUAGGGAGGUCUUGUCUCAUUACACACAAGCAUAAAAGUUUUAUCACAAGCUCAGUGUGAGAUUGAUUCUUCAGUCAUAUGGAAGAGCUUGCACCGGUAAACACGUUUUCUCAGCUGCAAUCCAUUAGACUGUCAGUCACUGAAGCUUUAUGACAUCACCCUCUCAUGCUCUCUCAUUGUGCUGAGGAGUGUUUCACAGUCUUUCUCGUGGAUGCUGAAUCCUAUAUGAUAGAGGAAGACAGAGAAGCAGGCAUUAGUGAGUGUCCAGUAUUCACCACUAUAUGACAUCCUUAUCAGGUUUACCACAGAAA
rnacentral:lncRNA from 1 species